UAGUGGCCUUGGUGGGUGUGAACAUAGGCUGAGCUGUCUCCUCUCCAUCUUUGGGGAGGAAGGAGCAGAGGAAGAUGGCAUCAUUGAAGACCUGAUAGUGAUGCCUCAACAACUGGCCACACCACAAUGGCUUAAAGCAAAGAUCAUGAUCGAAGUUUAAGAGAGAGCACAUAGCACUGCCACUGAGCCUCUCUCCUUCUAACAACCGUUCAUCUCCUGCAUAGUGCCAGGAACUCAACUUUCUCUUCAGGCAAACAUGGGCAAGCUGUGCUGCGGCAGCGAGCCGGAGGACGAGGCAGGCUUCAACUUCAUGGGGCUGCUCGUCGCGGCUGUCAUCGCCUUGGUGCUGAUGCUCCUCUGCACAUCACCACGGCGGCGCUCCGUCACCAUCUACCCUUGCUGUUAAGGUUCUUUGUCCCAGGCGAACUAAACUCUCCAGAAAGGGAUCUAGACCUGCAGAACGUCACAUCUUUCUCAAUUCUUUUCCUUCGGUAUAAUUCUUCAAAGAGAGUCGGAUUCAGGAUCGUGAUUAGCAAAUCAGUCCAAUGGAGAUCCAUGAAGAUCUUCUCACUCAUCUACUUCAUUGGGUGCUAUAAUCUCUCCAUCAACUGAUAUCACAGUCUAAUUUUAUUUCAUGAUCUGAAAUUUCGCACUACAAUUAUCAGUAGAAGCUUCCUAAACAUUAUUACAUUCAGAUGGAGAUGGCUUGAUGUGACUUCUAUGCAAAGUGGGGAAAAGGGAAAUGCAGAGUUGUCAAUGUCAUGAGAUAAACUAAUAUUUUGAUUCACAUUUUUUUGGAGUCA